rnacentral:tRNA from 1 species
ACCGGUGUGGUGAAAUUGGUAAACACGUUAUCUUAAGGAGGUAAUGAAUUAUAUCUUGUGAGUUCGAAUCUCACCAUCGGUA